rnacentral:rRNA from 1 species
CCUACGGGUGGCAGCAGUGAGGAAUAUUGGUCAAUGGCCGGAAGGCUGAACCAGCCAUGCCGCGUGAAGGUCAGUGCCCUUUGGGCGUUAAACUUCUUUUGUGCGGGAGCAAUAAUGGUCACGUUUGGCCAGACGAGAGUACCGUACGAAUAAACAUCGGCUAACUCCGUGCCAGCAGACGCGGUAAUACGGGGGAUGCAAGCGGUAUCCGGAUUUAUUGGGGUUAAAGGGGUCGUAGGCUGUGAAGUAAGUCAGAGGUGAAAUGCCCCCGCUCAACGGGGUGACGUGCCAUUGAUACUGCCUUGCUGGAAUGCGCAUGAAGUAGGAGGAAUGUGUGGUGUAGCGGUGAAAUGCAUAGAUAUCACACAGAACACCGAUUGCGAAGGCAUCUCACGAACCCGCGAUUGACGCUGAUGCACGAAAGCGUGGGUAUCAAACAGGAUUAGAUACCCUUGUAGUC